AGGACGAACGCUGGCGGCGUGCUUAACACAUGCAAGUCGAGCGGAAAGGCCCUUCGGGGUACGUCGAGCGGCGAACGGGUGAGUAACACGUGAGCAAUCUGCCCUUAGCUUCGGGAUAGCUCCGGGAAACCGGAAUUAAUACCGAAUACGACUACGGCCGACAUCGGCUGUGGUGGAAAGUUUUUUCGGCUAGGGAUGAGCUCGCGGCCUAUCAGCUUGUUGGUGAGGUAACGGCUCACCAAGGCGACGACGGGUA
rnacentral:rRNA from 1 species